rnacentral:rRNA from 1 species
AUGUAUUUGACACAGCAUAGGACGUUACACCGGAAGGGAAUCGCCAAGUAUCAUUUUGAUCCAGAGUGGGGAAGUUUUGCAGCAGACCAAGCAUCUCCUGAUAUUGUUCGAAGGCUUCCACUGAAAAAGGAGUACAGGAAGAAUGUAACUUGUAGGUGUCCAGCAGCUUCAGACAAUCCUUCCACCAAAAUGAGCAUUGGGCAUUCUCACCAGGGGGCAGGCUAUUCUGGUAAUAAGAUUCCCAGAUCAAAUGUACCCAUGGGAUAUUGCAUUGAUUCAAGAACUUGUGGACCAUUUUCAGAAGCAAAGCAUGCUCUCGCUCCUGCUAUCCACCUGCAGCUCACGCGGUCGGACGCACGCGUCGACGCCGCCGAUGGUGCCCGUGAGCGAACGCAGUGCUGCUAG